rnacentral:rRNA from 1 species
CCCAGACUCCUACGGGAGGCAGCAGUGAGGAAUAUUGGUCAAUGGCCGAGAGGCUGAACCAGCCAAGUCGCGUGAGGGAAGACGGCCCUACGGGUUGUAAACCUCUUUUGUCGGGGAGCAAAGCGAACCACGUGUGGUUCAUUGAGAGUACCCGAAGAAAAAGCAUCGGCUAACUCCGUGCCAGCAGCCGCGGUAAUACGGAGGAUGCGAGCGUUAUCCGGAUUUAUUGGGUUUAAAGGGUGCGCAGGCGGGGGUGCAAGUCAGUGGUCAAAUUGCGGGGCUGAACCCCGGACUGCCGUUGAAACUGGCGUUCUUGAGUGGGCGAGAAGUAUGCGGAAUGCGUGGUGUAGCGGUGAAAUGCAUAGAUAUCACGCAGAACUCCGAUUGCGGAGGCAGCAUACCGGCGCCCUACUGACGCUGAGGCACGAAAGCGUGGGGAUCGAACAGGAUUAGAUACCCCGGUACAC